AGAUUGAACGCUAGCGGGAUGCUUUACACAUGCAAGUCGAACGGCAGCGCGGACUUCGGUCUGGCGGCGAGUGGCGAACGGGUGAGUAAUAUAUCGGAACGUGCCCAGUAGCGGGGGAUAACUACGCGAAAGCGUGGCUAAUACCGCAUACGCCCUACGGGGGAAGGGGGGGAUCGCAAGACCUCUCACUAUUGGAGCGGUCCGAUAUCAGAUUAGCUAGUUGGUGAGGUAAAGGCUCACCAAGGCGACGAUCUGUAGCUGGUUUGAGAGACGACAGCCACACGUGGGACUGAACGACACGGCCCCAGACUCCCGUACGGGAGGCUAGCUAGGUCGGGGUAAUUUGGACAAGUGGGGGAAACCCUGGACUCCAGCCAUCCCG
rnacentral:rRNA from 1 species